AAGUCGUAACAAGGUCUCCGUUGGUGAACCAGCGGAGGGAUCAUUACCGAGUUCUUACAGAACCCUACCCUUGUGUGCUAAGCUACCACCCAGCUUUUACACAAGAGUCCCGGCUUGACCGCCGGGGCUAUCAGUGUAAAAAACAAAACCUCUGUAUUAUUAUUAUCUCUCUGAGACUUUUUUACAAAAGAGUCAAAACUUUCAACAACGGAUCUCUUGGUUCUG
rnacentral:misc_RNA from 1 species